rnacentral:tRNA from 1 species
GCGCAACGUGGCCGACGCGUGGGCGUCGAUCCUGUUGCCGCCGGGGUGGUCUCAGGAGAAGACGGAGCGGUUGCGUUCGCUGUUGCGGUC